rnacentral:rRNA from 1 species
UACGAAGGGGGGCUAGCGUUGCUCGGAAUUACUGGGCGUAAAGCGUGCGCAGGCGGUUAUGUAAGACAGGUGUGAAAUCCCCGGGCUUAACCUGGGAACUGCAUUUGUGACUGCAUAGCUAGAGUACGGUAGAGGGGGAUGGAAUUCCGCGUGUAGCAGUGAAAUGCGUAGAUAUGCGGAGGAACACCGAUGGCGAAGGCAAUCCCCUGGACCUGUACUGACGCUCAUGCACGAAAGCGUGGGGGAGCAAACAGG